rnacentral:rRNA from 1 species
GGUAUUGCCCAGGUAACGGCGAGUGAAGCGGCAAAAGCUCAAAUUUGAAAUCCUGCGGGAAUUGUAAUUUGAAGGUUUCGUGGUCUGAGUCGGCCGCGCCCAAGUCCAUUGGAACAUGGCGCCUGGGAGGGUGAGAGCCCCGUGUGGCGCACGCCGACUCUUUGCACCGCGGCUCCGACGAGUCGAGUUGUUUGGGAAUGCAGCUCUAAGUGGGUGGUAAAUUCCAUCUAAAGCUAAAUAUUGGCGAGAGACCGAUAGCGAACAAGUACAGUGAUGGAAAGAUGAAAAGCACUUUGAAAAGAGAGUGAAACAGCACGUGAAAUUGUUGAAAGGGAAGGGCUUGCAAGCAGACACGGUUUUACCGGGCCAGCGUCAAAUAAGCGGAAGGAAAAAGGGGGAAAGAAUGUGGCGCGUGCCUUCGGGUUCGCGUGUUAUAGCUUUCUCUGAUACCCCCAUGUUUGUUUGAGGCCUGCGAUUCUAGGACGCUGGCGUAAUGGUUGCAAGCCGCCCGUCUUGAAACACGGACCA